AUUCCGUGACGCACACUAACGCAUUAAGUUCCCCGCCUGGGGAGUACGGCCGCAAGGCUAAAACUCAAAGGAAUUGACGGGGACCCGCACAAGCGGCGGAGCAUGCGGAUUAAUUCGAUGCAACGCGAAGAACCUUACCAAGGCUUGACAUAUAGAGGAAACGUCUGGAAACAGUCGCCCCGCAAGGUCUCUAUACAGGUGGUGCAUGGUUGUCGUCAGCUCGUGUCGUGAGAUGUUGGGUUAAGUCCCGCAACGAGCGCAACCCUCGUUCUAUGUUGCCAGCACGUAAUGGUGGGAACCCAUGGGAUACUGCCGGAGUCAACUCGGAGGAAGGUGGGGAUGACGUCAAAUCAUCAUGCCCCAUAUGUCUUGGGCUUCACGCAUGCUACAAUGGCCGGUACAAAGGGCUGCAAUACCGUAAGGUGGAGCGAAUCCCAAAAAGCCGGUCCCAGUUCGGAUUGAGGUCUGCAACUCGACCUCAUGAAGUCGGAGUCGCUAGUAAUCGCAGAUCAGCAACGCUGCGGUGAAUACGUUCCCGGGUCUUGUACACACCGCCCGUCAAGUCAUGAAAGUCGGUAACACC
rnacentral:rRNA from 1 species